UCCCUGGUGGCUCAGAUGGUAAAGCAUCUGUUUACCAUGCGGGAGACCCAGGUUCGAUCCCUGGGUUGGGAA
rfam:Ovis aries breed Texel chromosome 3, whole genome shotgun sequence.